rnacentral:rRNA from 1 species
AACGAACGCUGGCGGCAUGCCUAACACAUGCAAGUCGAACGAGACCUUCGGGUCUAGUGGCGCACGGGUGCGUAACGCGUGGGAACCUGCCCUUAGGUUCGGAAUAACUCCCCGAAAGGUGUGCUAAUACCGGAUAAUGUCUUCGGACCAAAGAUUUAUCGCCUUUGGAUGGGCCCGCGUUGGAUUAGCUAGUUGGUAGGGUAAAAGCCUACCAAGGCGACGAUCCAUAGCUGGUCUGAGAGGAUGAUCAGCCACACUGGGACUGAGAAACGGCCCAGACUCGUACGGGAGGCAGCAGUGGGGAAUAUUGGAAAAUGGGGGAAAGCAUGAACCAGCAAUGCCGGGUGAGUGAUGAAGGCCUUAGGGUUGUAAAGCUCUUUUAACCGGGAUGAUAAUGACAGUACCGGGAGAAUAAGCUCCGGCUAACUCCGUG